AGUGAACGCUGGCGGUAGGCCUAACACAUGCAAGUCGAACGGCAGCACAGGAGAGCUUGCUCUCUAGGUGGCGAGUGGCGGACGGGUGAGGAAUACAUCGGAAUCUGCCCAGUCGUGGGGGAUAACGUAGGGAAACUUACGCUAAUACCGCAUACGACCUUCGGGUGAAAGAGGGGGAUCGCAAGACCUCUCGCGAUUGGAUGAGCCGAUGUCGGAUUAGCUAGUUAGCGGGGUAAUGGCCCACCAAGGCGACGAUCCGUAGCUGGUCUGAGAGGAUGAUCAGCCACACUGGAACUGAGACACGGUCCAGACUCCUACGGGAGGCAGCAGUGGGGAAUAUUGGACAAUGGGCGCAAGCCUGAUCCAGCCAUACCGCGUGGGUGAAGAAGGCCUUCGGGUUGUAAAGCCCUUUUGUUGGGAAAGAAAUCUUUCAGGCUAAUACCCUGGGAGGAUGACGGUACCCAAGGAAUAAGCACCGGCUAACUUCGUG
rnacentral:rRNA from 1 species